rnacentral:rRNA from 1 species
AACGCUAGCUACAGGCUUAACACAUGCAAGUCGAGGGGAAACGACAUCGAAAGCUUGCUUUUGAUGGGCGUCGACCGGCGCACGGGUGAGUAACGCGUAUCCAACCUGCCCACCACUUGGGGAUAACCUUGCGAAAGUAAGACUAAUACCCAAUGACGUCUCUAGAAGACAUCUGAAAGAGAUUAAAGAUUUAUCGGUGAUGGAUGGGGAUGCGUCUGAUUAGCUUGUUGGCGGGGUAACGGCCCACCAAGGCAACGAUCAGUAGGGGUUCUGAGAGGAAGGUCCCCCACAUUGGAACUGAGACACGGUCCAAACUCCUACGGGAGGCAGCAGUGAGGAAUAUUGGUCAAUGGACGAGAGUCUGAACCAGCCAAGUAGCGUGCAGGAUGACGGCCCUAUGGGUUGUAAACUGCUUUUAUAAGGGAAUAAAGUUAGUCUCGUGAGACUUUUUGCAUGUACCUUAUGAAUAAGGACCGGCUAAUUCCGUGCCAGCAGCCGCGGUAAUACGGAAGGUCCGGGCGUUAUCCGGAUUUAUUGGGUUUAAAGGGAGCGUAGGCCGGAGAUUAAGCGUGUUGUGAAAUGUAGACGCUCAACGUCUGCACUGCAGCGCGAACUGGUUUCCUUGAGUACGCACAAAGUGGGCGGAAUUCGUGGUGUAGCGGUGAAAUGCUUAGAUAUCACGAAGAACUCCGAUUG